rnacentral:rRNA from 1 species
AACGAACGCUGGCGGCAUGCCUAACACAUGCCAGUCGAACGAGACCUUCGGGUCUAGUGGCGCACGGGUGCGUAACGCGUGGGAACCUGCCUUUAGGUUCGGAAUAACUCAGAGAAAUUUGAGCUAAUACCGGAUGAUGUCUUCGGACCAAAGAUUUAUCGCCUUUAGAUGGGCCCGCGUUGGAUUAGCUAGUUGGUGGGGUAAAGGCCUACCAAGGCGACGAUCCAUAGCUGGUCUGAGAGGAUGAUCAGCCACACUGGGACUGAGACACGGCCCAGACUCCUACGGGAGGCAGCAGUGGGGAAUAUUGGAAAAUGGGCGAAAGCCUGAUCCAGCAAUGCCGCGUGAGUGAUGAAGGCCUUAGGGUUGUAAAGCUCUUUUACCCGAGAUGAUAAUGACAGUAUCGGGAGAAUAAGCUCCGGCUAACUCCGUG